GACGAAGUGUCCGAGUGGUUAAGGAGCAAAAUUAGAAAUUUUGUGGCUUCGGCCGCGCAAGUUCGAAUCUUGUCUUCGUCG